rnacentral:rRNA from 1 species
UACGUAGGGUGCAAGCGUUGUCCGGAAUUAUUGGGCGUAAAGAGCUCGUAGGCGGUCUGUCGCGUCGGCUGUGAAAACCUAGGGCUCAACUCUGGGCUUGCAGCCGAUACGGGCAAACUAGAAUUCGGUAGGGGAGACUGGAAUUCCUGGUGUAGCGGUGAAAUGCGCAGAUAUCAGGAGGAACACCGGUGGCGAAGGCGGGUCUCUGGGCCGAUAUUGACGCUGAGGAGCGAAAGCGUGGGGAGCGAACAGG